GUCGCAACAUUUUCCUUCUCGACUUCGGCGGCAUCUUCAAAGCAACGCCGCUUUGGUUCGAAUUUUGCAAGAGCUCGAAGAACAGUUUUAGCGAGGAGUUUCUGUGAGAGUAGAAGACAAAGUACGACGUCAGCUUGUUGAAGAAGGAAGAACUCAGGAAUAAAAAGGUGAAACGGAACUUGGAAGUGUCAGAUGACGCAAGUUCCAAGUACGACUCGACAUGCAACCAGUCAAAUUCAAAAAACAAACUGUACCUGAGUUACAGGAUCCAUCGUAUUCAUGAUGUAGCUACCAAUACAAGUUGCAACACCUGAUAUCGAACGGGCUGCAACUACCGCCUUUCAAAUCAAAUUAGGACAGGGCGGUUUACGCAUGCGUAAUGAAUGGUGUCCUAGAAUGUAGUCACGUGUAUGUUUGUGACAUUUCUAAUCGUAACAUGUCAUUUUGUUUGUUGAAAGUUGGUAGAUUACA